ACCAGCACGACAGCUUGGUAGCUGGCGUCAGUCAACCCAGUCACGAUUGACCGCGUCUGACCCCCACACUGAAAUAGACUCGUCCAGUCAAUAAUACGUCAACAGUACACGGAAGACUCACUGUCAACAAACAUACCGUGUCAAAGGUCAAAGAAGGCACAAAUAUGCUGUUAUUACGGUGAAUAUUCUUUCCUAGAUCAUCUGCAAACCGUUAACGCCGUGUUCACUGUACCUAGCUUGUACAAGGAUGCGGAAAUAACAAAUCCGUCAACGUGAGCAAUGGGGGGUGCGAAGGACAGGUUGUGGUUCCUGUUGAACCGGAUGAAGAAGAAAAAGGUAAUCUCCGAGCACGACCACAGUACGGAGCUGAAGCGAUGUCUCACGACCACCCACCUCACCUUCAUGGGCGUGGGCUGCACGGUGGGGGUGGGAAUAUAUGUACUGGUGGGCGUGGCAGCUAAAGAAUAUGCAGGACCAGGUGUGUUGCUGUCCUUCCUCAUGGCCGGUUUAGUGACCGUCAUAAACGCUAUUUGUUUCGCGGAGUUCGGCGCAAGGAUACCCAAGACUGGUGCAACAUAUACCUACGUCUACGAGAGUGCCUCCGAGCUGCUGGCCUUCCUUGUGGGCUGGAUGACUCUCGUGGGUUACAUCACAAGUGGCGCCAUUGCAGCUAGAGCCUGGAGUGGCUAUCUCGACUCGCUCUUCAAUAACUACAUCCACGAAUCCACAGUCCAUACUCUCGGCAAGGUCACACUCGGACCGCCAUUUAGCGAAAGUCUGGACUUCCUGGCAUGCGCAUAUGAGAUCGUGGUGAUCGUAAUUAUCUCCCUUGGAGUCCAAGCCUCUGCUUUCAUCAGCACAGUGUUGGCGGGUGUGUCGGUGUGUGUGUUGCUGUUUGUCACCAUCAUGGGUCUGGUUAUCGGCGACUACAGGAACAUCACCAACACCGAACAUGGGGGAUUCUUGCCGUUUGGCAUCGGAGGGGUAAUGGCGGGGACUGCAGCCUGCUUCUACGCAUUUCAAGGCUUCAACAUCAUCUGUAUGUCAGCAGAAGAGUGCAAGACGCCUGGGAAAUCCAUCCCAAGAGCAAUAUUCUCAGAAUUACUGAUUGUAACCCUGCUGUACGUAGGGUCAUCCUGUGGACUCAUCCUCCUCGUACCGUACUCCAAAAUUGACAUUCGGGCACCUCUUCCAUCUGCGUUCGCUUACAAGCAUAUAGAGUGGGCGAAAUACGUGGUCAGUAUAGGCCCGACGUUAGGUAUCAGCAACCUUAAUAUCUUAAACCUAUAUAACAUAUCACGACAUGUAUACUGCAUGUCGAGUGACGGACUGUUCAUGAAGGCCUUCCUGAAGGUGAACAGAACCACCAAGGUGCCUGUCAGGGCCGCAGUGGUCAUGGGGCUCCUGGUAUCUCUAUUCGCCCUUCUCUUCGACAUUUCCAACCUUGUCAGCUUCAACGUCAUAUCUAUAUUUCUAAGUUUUGUUAUAUCAAACGGAAUUCUAUUACUUAGUAGGAGAGAGGAACGAAGUACUAGUUCAGAGGAUGCAGAAAACCGAAAUGUUAGAACGGACGAACGACCCCUACUGUCGAGUGAUGGACGAGUAAGUGAACCCAGAACAGGGUUUAGUGGCUUAGCGGACAGGAUAGGGUUGCUGUAUCUCGUGUGUCUUGUAGUGUUCACAUCUCUGGGUCUGGGACUUCAGCUUGUCAGUGGUAUUGACGACCUCCUCCACGGGCGUGUGUUGGCGUUCGUGUGUCUAGGACUUCUACUAGGGCUAUUAGUCUUCCUGUCCGUGCUGAUGUCAACGCAAACCGGGUCGGCUAAGCACAACGGCUUCAGUGUUUUGGGAUAUAUGUGGCGUUAGUUCUGUUCUCCACUACAUCCAGCGGACAGAACUCCUCCUCCAGCGUCGUUGAAGAUUGGAUCGGGGUUGGCAAGAAGUCGAGGGAACAUUUGAUGUGAUCGUGCAAAUGGAAUGGCUGGGCGCUCUAAAUGGUUACUGUCCUUGUCAUGACUUGUCCAGGAGCUUGAUCUAAACGAAGGCUGUUGUUUGUUUGUUAUUCAACACCCUACUCGGCGGUAUGACGUCGGUCUGUAACUGUAUAUGUCUUGACCAGCGGUCAUUUAAAUUAUAUGUCAACGUAUCUUGCCACAAAUAUGAUAUUUGAGAUUACACUUUGUCAGUAAAGUACAGAUUCUAGUACUUUUGUUGAGUUGAGAACCCACAUCAUGCCGUCGGAUAAUGAGAAAUGACUAUUCGGAUGUGCUGAGACCUAAGAACACUACUGUAUAUGGUGAAAUGUGUAAUGUGUUUGGUGUUAGUAAUGAGACCUGUUCCAGAGAUUGCUCAAUUAUAAGUCCUCCAGCUUGUUCACCGUCCUGUUCACACUUUCUGUCAAUUAUCAGAAUAUUUAGCACCUCCAACUCUCCCGUCAAGUGUGGCUGCAAUACUGUUGAUCUCACGUACAAUUGUAAUCUACCCUCCAUAACACCGUCGUGAAAAUGGGGCAGAGUUGUAACUGCAGCGUUCAUUUUUAUCCUCCUGAAUAUAUGGCAGCAGUAUUGUCAAAAACGUUUUAUCAUGUUCAUUAGAAUAUCUUCAUGAUAUUUUCGAUGAAUUUUGUCGAUGUACAUUUUAAGCGUGCUCAUCAGAAUAGCUUGACAAUAUGGCUGCAAUGUUGUGUAUGUGACGUACGGUUUUAGGUAACAUGUCAGGGUGGGCACAGUUGUAGGGCUUGGUUCGUUAUGUGAAGCAGUAUCAUGAAUGUGAAUUCGCUGCGUACAGAUCUGUACAUAUUCCUUAUAAUUGUAACAAUAAAUUAUUCUUUGACGAUGA
rnacentral:misc_RNA from 1 species